rnacentral:rRNA from 1 species
GCAAGUCGAGCGGACCGAAGGGAGCUUGCUCCUUUAGGUUAGCGGCGGACGGGUGAGUAACACGUGGGCAACCUGCCCUGCAGACUGGGAUAACUUCGGGAAACCGGAGCUAAUACCGGAUAACACCGAAAACCGCAUGGUUUUCGGUUGAAAGGCGGCUUUUAGCUGUCACUGCAGGAUGGGCCCGCGGCGCAUUAGCUAGUUGGUGAGGUAACGGCUCACCAAGGCGACGAUGCGUAGCCGACCUGAGAGGGUGACCGGCCACACUGGGACUGAGACACGGCCCAGACUCCUACGGGAGGCAGCAGUGGGGAAUAUUGCACAAUGGGCGAAAGCCUGAUGCAGCAACGCCGCGUGCGGGAUGAAGGCCCUAGGGUUGUAAACCGCUUUCAGCAGGGAAGAAAAUGACGGUACCUGUAGAAGAAGGUGCGGCCAACUACGUGCCAGCAGCCGCGGUAAU